ACAAAAACAAAACCAAAAGAACAGCUCCCCAUCACCACCCCAUGAAGGAUGGGACACCCUGCCCAGCCCUUCCAACUUCCAUGGCGAGUAUAUGACAGGGUCUCUUCAUGAGGCUGGGACUCCAGGAAAGAUACAAUGGCUGCCCUAGGGACCAGUUGUUCUGGCAGGGGCCUGACUGCGGAGGUGAGAGGCUUCCUACAAAGAUGAAAGGUCCAGGAAGUGUGCACAAAGCUAGGAGGUGACCCGCGGCAUGAACUGGCCCAUCCAGACGGCAGCCGGAGCUGGGUAGGAAGACUUCAGGUCAUCGUGGAUUCCCAGGAUGCCUCACCAAAGGCACCGCAGACCCUCAGUACUCGCAGCCUCUCUACCCAACCCCAGGACAGUGAGUGGAUCCCAGAGACAUGGAGGAUUCAGAUAGAGACCAGGAUGGAAGCAGAAGAGAGAGAGGAGCCAUCGACCUGCUACAGGCUAGGAGUGCAACUCCUGUCUCCACAAGAAGCAAGGCGGCUCCUGCUGCUUAAAGAAAGAAGAAUAGAACUGGCAACUCUCCCUUUUGUUCUGGAUGGACAAAGGCUGGCUCCAGCCAGCAGACCUCCAGGGAGCUGCCUCCAACACCACCAAGGACAGACAGGACCUGAGCUGGCCAUCGUCAUGGUCUCCAGCAUAUGAGCCCUGACCCCAGCCCUGCAGCUUCUCCCCCACCCUGCACCCCUGCCCGACAGCUCUGCUGGGCACUUUGGGCACUCACUGGAAGUUCGUGGGCCUUGCUCAGAAACGGGGUGGAGGGGGUCUCUCAUCAA